GAUGAAGAACGUAGCAAAAUGCGAUAAGUAAUGUGAAUUGCAGAAUUCAGUGAAUCAUCGAAUCUUUGAACGCACAUUGCGCCCGCUGGUAUUCCGGCGGGCAUGCCUGUUCGAGCGUCAUUUCAACCCUCAAGCCCCCGGGUUUGGUGUUGGGGAUCGGCUCUGCCCUUCUGGGCGGUGCCGCCCCCGAAAUACAUUGGCGGUCUCGCUGCAGCCUCCAUUGCGUAGUAGCUAACACCUCGCAACUGGAACGCGGCGCGGCCAUGCCGUAAAACCCCAACUUCUUAAUGUUGACCUCGGAUCAGGUAGGAAUACCCGCUGAACUUAAGCAUAUCAAUAAGCGGAGGA
rnacentral:misc_RNA from 1 species